rnacentral:rRNA from 1 species
CCAGCGAACUUGGCAGAGAUGCCUUGGUGCCUUCGGGAACGCUGAGACAGGUGCUGCAUGGCUGUCGUCAGCUCGUGUUGUGAAAUGUUGGGUUAAGUCCCGCAACGAGCGCAACCCUUAUCCUUUGUUGCCAGCGAUUCGGUCGGGAACUCAAGGGAGACUGCCGGUGAUAAACCGGAGGAAGGUGGGGAUGACGUCAAGUCAUCAUGGCCCUUACGAGUAGGGCUACACACGUGCUACAAUGGCGCAUACAAAGAGAAGCGACCUCGCGAGAGCAAGCGGACCUCAUAAAGUGCGUCGUAGUCCGGAUCGGAGUCUGCAACUCGACUCCGUGAAGUCGGAAUCGCUAGUAAUCGUGGAUCAGAAUGCCACGGUGAAUACGUUCCCGGGCCUUGUACACACCGCCCGUCACACCAUGGGAGUGGGUUGCAAAAGAAGUAGGUAGCUUAGCCUUCGGGAGGGCGCUUACCACUUUGUGAUUCAUGACUGGGGUGAAGUCGUAACAAGGUAGGCGUAGCGAG